AAGGAGCACUAAAGCUUGCUGCAUACCACUGCAGCUGCCUGGAGAAUCAGCAUUACCCAUGGAAAUCUCUGCAGAAAAGUUUUUGUGCUUGGCUGCCAUCCUCCACCUGCAUCAGAAAAGAAGGCUCAAGGCUGCUGAAAGAAAGAUAAGAAGAUUUGUGAAAACCUAAAACUGGGUUUAACAGCAAGAACAGCUGAAGCUUCUUGGAACUGCAAGGUUAUAGCAACAGCCAUCAGUACAGACAUGCCUCAGUAUUUACACGGGAUCAAGAUAUCGGCUGAAGUAUCGUGUUUUUAAAUUCCUUUGAGAGGUACUGCUGUCACUGUUCUUUCUUGUCUCAAAGUAAUCAAAUUGAAGAGGGAAGUGUAACACUGAAAACCAUCAGUAACAUUUUGGUAUUUCCAUGGUUUGCUGCAUAAUUAGUUACAAAAAUAGUAUGUUCUCUGCCAGCUGUUUGAUUCUUUUUUUCAUUUAAAGUGUAGCUCAGUUGUCAACAGUUCAGCAGCUUGUUUUUUUUCAACUGAGAAAUUUUAUUUUAGCUGUGUAUGAAUUUAAGAAAACCAUAGAAGUUAAUAUGCUGUAAUUAUUCAUUGAGCCAUAGCAGUCAUUGGGUGGGAUAGUGUUCUACAUUUGUAUUGCUUCUGCAACAGGUACCUUCUAUUUCUGUGUUUUCUCAUUUCUCCGCAACAUAUUUUUCAUGAAUUUUCUUCUCAGACAAUCCAACUGUACCAUUUUUAUAAUAAUUUCCUUUUACAUAACAUCUUGUCACUGCCAGUCCUCCAUGAGCAAUUGCUUAAUUUCCAAACACAGUCAAGUAAGCUUUACAACAAUUAUUAUCUUUUCUGAUCUAUGCAAAGUAUUUUUUUAUAUGGUUGCAAAAGUGCAAUCGUUGUCUUAUUAGAUGUUGAUGGAAAAUUGUUGAUGAAAAAUGGACUGUAGUCAUAAUCCACAUGUAAAUGCAAAUUAUCUCACCAAAAUACAUUAAGUAAUAGUUAGAAUUGACAUUACAGUUUGCCUGCUGUGGACAUGCCCUGAUUCUCUGCCCCACUCAGUUAUGGUUUAGCCCAUAAUAUCUACAUAUGAUGACACCAUUUAGCAUUCCAAAGAAUGACUCUAUAAGUAAUUCCAGCUGCAAUUCUCUUAACUCUGCUGUUCUAGAAAUCUCUAUCGGACAUAAGUUUUUGUGUUUUGAUGGCGGCAGUAGUGCCCUUUAUAAAAUUUGCUGAGAAUUAGACUUUGAGAUUUAAUGUUUCUUUAUAUGUGUGCCACAGAUUAGGUUGUGUAAAUGAAUCACCUUUCAGCAAAGAAAGCUCAGAUUUGAUCCCACAGAAGUCACUGGGAUGGAGGAGGGAAGGGGCUGAGUGUUUGUCAUGACUCUCCUAAUAAUUUUCAGUUCUUCGUUUCAGCCUGUCUGUCUUAGUCCCUGGGGUUCAAGCAGCUGUGGCAGUGCAGGAUCAGAGGGAAUGUAUGAAUCACUCAAGAAGAGAUGAUUCUCCUCCAGUGUGAAAAACUGUCACUCAGGCCUUCACCUAAGAAAAAAGGUGAUUUCUCUUUCCAGCUCCAGUGCCCAGCUCUGAAACCAACCCAAGUCUUGGAACCUUCCAAGGCUCAACAGAGAGUUGCCAAGCCAGAAAAAUACCACUGCUGGGAAGCUCUAGCACUCCUCCUAGGCAGAAAUAUCCAGGAACCAGCUUGAAGCAACCAGCUGGCUCUCACAAAAUAUAUUACAUGUGGCUGUUCUGUCUCUCAUAUAUCUUUGCUUGUGUUACAAAAAAAUAGAGGUAGGGGCUGUAUGUUAAAGCAGGCCAGAUCAUGAAUGUGAAGGUAUAGCCAUAGUUUUACUCCGCAAUUGAAUAGUCUGGGAAAGUAAACAGAAGGAGCUGCAAGUAGAACAAAAGCAAGUUCAGCCUUCCAUCCAGUAGAAAAAAACCUGCUGGUGUGUUGGAUAUUGUACAGAACACCUCAGAAUUUCCCCCCUGCACAUCAUGGGAUCAAAUAUACCUCACAGCUGAGUUGCAGCUCUAGCACCUGUAUGCAAACUGAGAAUCAAAUGGUCAGAUACCAGGAAGAAGGACACCUUGCUGAGAACUUCCUCAGGUUCACCCAGUGCUUCAGACAAAAAAAAAAAAAAAAAGAAAGAAAGAAAGAAAGAAAGAGGGCACUAUUUCUUGGAAUUCCUCUUCUAGGACUCAGCUUUCAAAGUGCACCAUCAGUAUUUGUCAGUGUGACUGGGACUUACCCUUUGUGGAAAAACACCGGUGGCUCUUUUGAUUGCAAUGGAUGUAUUUGAGAGUACUGAUAUGUGUUUACUAGAGUGGGUGGUUAGCAUUUACGGUGUUGUUUCUAGCACGGAACAAAUGCCAGAUUAGCAAGGAGUUUUAUUUCCCACAGCAAUGAUAGUGUGUCCCUGACAAUACCGUUCAUAUUCCCCCGGGGGAGAAAGUUAAUGCUGCUCCUUGCAGUCAAGCUUAUGUAGUGAUAAUAAACAGCACUUAAGAAACUCACAGUUGCUGUCAAGGGUCUUCACAAAGGGGUCAUUUGUAAUGAAACAAAAGACAUAUCUGGUGGACUGACUUCUGGAAAGAAAAAACAAUUAGAUAACACUUACAUGAGAAUCAGUGGCUGGUUUUAGCUUUUCAAUUGUCUGAUUUGCUGCUCGAGCACCCUUCAGUACCUUUUAUAAAUACAUCCCCCUGUGCAGUUAUUGGCUUUUGCAACUUGCACUUCCUUGACCCACAAAGCUAUCUUCAGUUGUCUGAGUACAGCCUGCAUCUAACAUUGCUUGCUAAACGAUUUUGAAAACCAGUGGAGUAACAUCAAAUAGUAUUCAAGAUAUUGCAGCAGAUGAUUGCAAGGAGCAAAGCUGUAAGCACUGAAAUAUUGAUAAUAAGGAAAUGCAAGAUGCUUAUCUUAUUACUUCCAUUUUAGCACUUACCUUUAAUAAAAAUAAAAACCAAAGGCAUCUUGGAUCUCCUCCCUGAACAAACAUACUUCAAUACAGUAAUUGAGUUGAUAGUCUGUGCUAUUAAAAAUGGGUAAAAAUAGUUUAGGAGAAUGUGAGACAAAAUCUGUCUUUGAUGAGUGUGAGGAGAGAUGAGGCAGAACACCACAGAGUUUCACUUCAUCAUGGUUUUUGCAGCUCUAAUUUGAACAUGGCUAUUUUUAGAAGACUUGUACAUAUCAACAACACUAAUGACUGCCAACAGAGACAGCCAUGUUCUUAGAGCCAGCGGCAUCGUGUGCAGCUCUCGGGAUUUAACUAAAGCAUGUUUUUGGCAAAUAGUAAUAAAAGUAAUUAAUUCUGUUUGUUUCCAACAAAUUGAA